CGCUUUUGGAGGGGGGUGCGUCCUAUCAGGUAGUUGGUGUGGUAAUAGCUCACCAAGCCUAUGACGGGUAGCCGGUCUGAGAGGAUGUCCGGCCGCAAUGGAACUGAGACACGGUCCAUACUCCUACGGGAGGCAGCAGUGGGGAAUCUUGCGCAAUGGGCGAAAGCCUGACGCAGCAAUCCCGCGUGAAGGAUGAAGCAUUAUGGUGUGUAAACUUCUCUUCUGGUGGAAGACGAAUGACGGUACACCAGGAAUAAGGGACGGCUAACUACGUGCCAGCAGCCGCGGUAAUACGUAGGUCCCAAGUGUUAUCCGGAAUUACUGGGCGUAAAGAGUCUGUAGCCGGGUUUGUAAGUCUGUUUUCAAAUCCUAUGGCUUAACCAUAGAGAGGGAAUGGAUACUGCAAACCUUGAGAUUAUUGGGGGUUGAUGGAAUUUCCGGUGGAGCGGUGAAAUGCGUUGAUAUCGGAAGGAACGCCAAAAGUGAAAGCAGUCAACUACAAUAAACCUGACGGUCAGAGACGAAAGCUUGGGGAGCAAACGGGAUUAGAUACCCCGGUAGUCCAAGCCGUAAAUUAUGCAUGCUAGGUGUCUUGUUCACUUUAUGUGAGCGGGGUGCCGUAAUCUAACGAGUUAAGCAUGCCGCCUGGGUAGUAUAUUCGCAAGAAUGAAACUCAAAGGGAUAGGCGGGGGUACACACAAGCAGUGGAUUGUCUCGAUUAAUUGGAUAAUAAGCCAAGAAUCUUACCUAGACUUGACAUAUAUUGUGUCCUACGUGAAAGUGUAGUAAUCCCGAUUUUGUCGGGAUACGAUAUACAGGUGGUGCAUGGUCGUCGUCAGCUCGUGCCGCAAGAUGUCCAGUUAAGUCUGGGAACGAGCGCAACCCUCGUUGUUAGUUA
rnacentral:rRNA from 1 species